rnacentral:lncRNA from 1 species
AGAGACAACGCCUGCGGGUAGAGACGAGCGGGGAACACUAGGGCGCUGGCCAGGUAAGCAGCGGCUUUGCCCCCGGCAGGAGGAGGGGGAGGAUGCCGCACCCCGCACAGCAGAGCCCCCUGCCCGACUCUUGACAGUCUGGCCUGAUCCUGACAUGGCACAACCAACACUGCCGUGUACCCAACCCUGGCUUACUUGUCCUGAGUCGCCUUGCCUUGGCCCUGGACCUGGAUCUAUCCCUGGACUUGGAUCUACCCCUGGACUUGGAUCUACCCCUGGACCUGGAUCUAUCCCUGGACUUGGAUCUACCCCUGGACUUGGAUCUACCCCUGGACUUGGAUCUACCCCUGGACUUGGAUCUAUCCCUGGACUUGGAUCUAUCCCUGGACCUGGAUCUAUCCCUGGACCUGGAUCUAUCCCUGGACCUGGAUCUAUCCCUGGACUUGGAUCUAUCCCUGGACUUGGAUCUACCCCUGGACUUGGAUCUACCCCUGGACCUGGAUCUAUCCCUGGACUUG